rnacentral:rRNA from 1 species
UGCAUGAGCGUCAGUGCAGGCCCAGGGGAUUGCCUUCGCCAUCGGUGUUCCUCCGCAUAUCUACGCAUUUCACUGCUACACGCGGAAUUCCAUCCCCCUCUGCCGCACUCUAGCCUUGCAGUCACAAUGGCAGUUCCCAGGUUGAGCCCGGGGAUUUCACCACUGUCUUACAAAACCGCCUGCGCACGCUUUACGCCCAGUAAUUCCGAUUAACGCUUGCACCCUACGUAUUACCGCGGCUGCUGGCACGUAGUUAGCCGGUGCUUAUUCUUACGGUACCGUCAUGACCCGGGGAUAUUAGCCCCAGGCUUUUCGUUCCGUACAAAAGCAGUUUACAACCCGAGGGCCUUCAUCCUGCACGCGGCAUUGCUGGAUCAGGCUUUCGCCCAUUGUCCAAAAUUCCCCACUGCUGCCUCCCGUAGGAGUCUGGGCCGUGUCUCAGUCCCAGUGUGGCUGGUCGUCCUCUCAGACCAGCUACAGAUCGCAGGCUUGGUAAGCCUUUACCCCACCAACUACCUAAUCUGCCAUCAGCCGCUCUAGUAGCACAAGGCCCGAAGGUCCCCUGCUUUCAUCCGUAGAUCUCAUGCGGUAUUAGCUACUCUUUCGAGUAGUUAUCCCCCACUACUAGGCACGUUCCGAUGUAUUACUCACCCGUUCGCCACUCGUCAGCAUCCGAAGACCUGUUACCGUUCGACUUGCAUGUGUAAAGCAUGCCGCCAGCGUUCAAU